rnacentral:rRNA from 1 species
CCUACGGGUGGCAGCAGUGGGGAAUAUUGCACAAUGGGGGAAACCCUGAUGCAGCGACUCCGCGUGUGUGAAGAAGUAAUUCGUGAUGUAAAGCUCUAUCAUCAGGGAAGAAAAUGACGGUACCUAAGUAAGAAGCCCCGGCUAACUACGUGCCAGCAGCCGCGGUAAUACGUAGGGGGCAAGCGUUAUCCGGAUUGACUGGGUGUAAAGGGAGCGUAGACGGCAGUGCAAGUCUGGAGUGAAGGGCGGGGGCCCAACCCCCGGACUGCGCAGGAAACUGUACGGCUGGAGUGCAGGAGAGGUAGGUGGAAUUCCUAGUGUAGCGGUGAAAUGCGUAGAUAUUAGGAGGAACACCAGUGGCGAAGGCGGCUUACUGGACUGUAACUGACGUUGAGGCUCGAAAGCGUGGGGAGCAAACAGGAUUAGAUACCCUUGUAGUC